rnacentral:rRNA from 1 species
GUGCCAGCAGCCGCGGUAAGACAGAGGUGGCAAGCGUUGUUCGGAUUUACUGGGCUUAAAGGGCGUGUAGGCGUCCCGAUAAGUCAGAUGUGGAAGCCUUGGGCUUAACCCAAGAAGUGCAUUUGAAACUGUCGGGAUUGAGUCGUGCAAGGGAGGGCGGAAUUCCUGGUGUAGCGGUGAAAUGCGUAGAUAUCAGGAGGAAGGCCGGUGGUGAAGACGGCCCUCUAGGCAAUGACUGACGCUGAUGCGCGAAAGCGUGGGGAGCAAACAGGAUUAGAUACCCUGGUAGUCCACGCCCUAAACGGUGCGUACUAGGUGUGGGUGGCGAUAGUCAUCCGUGCCGUAGGGAAACCAUUAAGUACGCCGCCUGGGGAGUACGGCCGCAAGGUUGAAACUCAAAUGAAUUGACGGGGGCCCGCACAAGCGGUGGAGCAUGUGGUUUAAUUCGACGCUACGCGCAGAACCUUACCUGGGCUUGACAUGUUAGUGGUAGGAACCUGAAAGGGUGACGACCUAUUCUUCGGAAUAGGAGCUUGCACAGGUGCUGCAUGGCUGUCGUCAGCUCGUGCCGUGAA